GAUGAACGCUGGCGGCGUGCCUAAUACAUGCAAGUCGAGCGAAUGGAUUAAGAGCUUGCUCUUAUGAAGUUAGCGGCGGACGGGUGAGUAACACGUGGGUAACCUGCCCAUAAGACUGGGAUAACUCCGGGAAACCGGGGCUAAUACCGGAUAACAUUUUGAACCGCAUGGUUCGAAAUUGAAAGGCGGCUUCGGCUGUCACUUAUGGAUGGACCCGCGUCGCAUUAGCUAGUUGGGGAGGUAACGGCUCACCAAGGCAACGAUGCGUAGCCGACCUGGGAGUGUGAUCGGCCACACUGGGACUGAGACACGGCCCAGACUCCUACGGGAGGCAGCAGUAGGGAAUCUUCCGCAAUGGACGAAAGUCUGACGGAGAAACGCCGCGUGAGUGAUGAAGGCUUUCGGGUCGUAAAACUCUGUUGUUAGGGAAGAACAAGUGCUAGUUGAAUAAGCUGGCACCUUGACGGUACCUAACCAGAAAGCCACGGCUAACUACGUGCCAGCCGCCGCAGUAA
rnacentral:rRNA from 1 species